rnacentral:tRNA from 1 species
GGAUGUGCUGCAAUGACGGUGGUAUUGCACCAGACUGUAAAUCUGGCCCCACAGGGUAAACGUUGUAGGUUCGAAUCCUACCGCAUCCACCA